AGGGGGCAAGCGUUGUCCGGAAUUAUUGGGCGUAAAGAGUACGUAGGCGGUCUGUUAAGCGCAAGGUGAAAGGCAUAGGCUCAACCAAUGUGAGCCUUGCGAACUGGCAGACUUGAGUGCAGGAGAGGAAAGCGGAAUUCCUAGUGUAGCGGUGAAAUGCGUAGAUAUUAGGAGGAACACCGGUGGCGAAGGCGGCUUUCUGGACUGAAACUGACGCUGAGGUACGAAAGCGUGGGGAGCAAACAGGAUUAGAUACCCUGGUAGUCCACGCUGUAAACGAUGAGCACUAGGUGUCGGGGUCGAAAGACUUCGGUGCCGCAGUUAACGCAAUAAGUGCUCCGCCUGGGGAGUACGCACGCAAGUGUG
rnacentral:rRNA from 2 species